CCCUAAUGCUCACUUGGCAGUUGGACAGAGUCGGGUGUGGACGUAUGUUCAGUAUGGUGCAGUCUCAAGGUCGAGUUUUUAAGAGACGUAGAAGCAAAUACAUGUUUUAAGCCCAAAGAGAUUCAGCACAACAUGCGCCUGAAAAAAAAAACGGUGCCUAGCCUUUGUUUCAUACUAGGAACCCCACGCUUAUCCGUGCACCACAAAGGUCGAUCUUUUAUGAGGCAUAGAAGCCAAUGCAUGUUUAAACUCAACGAGAUUCAGCACAACAUGCGCCUGCCAGUAACCUACGGUGCCUAGCCUUUGUUUUAUACCAGGAAUCCCACGCUCAUUCGUGCAUCUAUUAUAUGAAUACUGAAUAAAUAUUUUUGUAAUUAAUAAUAAA